GAUGAACGCUGGCGGCGUGCCUAAUACAUGCAAGUCGAGCGAACAGAUAAGGAGCUUGCUCCUUUGACGUUAGCGGCGGACGGGUGAGUAACACGUGGGUAACCUACCUAUAAGACUGGGAUAACUUCGGGGAACCGGAGCUAAUACCGGAUAAUAUUUCGAACCGCAUGGUUCGAUAGUGAAAGAUGGUUUUGCUAUCACUUAUAGAUGGACCCGCGCCGUAUUAGCUAGUUGGUAAGGUAACGGCUUACCAAGGCGACGAUACGUAGCCGACCUGAGAGGGUGAUCGGCCACACUGGAACUGAGACACGGUCCAGACUCCUACGGGAGGCAGCAGUAGGGAAUCUUCCGCAAUGGGCGAAAGCCUGACGGAGCAACGCCGCGUGAGUGAUGAAGGUCUUCGGAUCGUAAAACUCUGUUAUUAGGGAAGAACAUACGUGUAAGUAACUGUGCACGUCUUGACGGUACCUAAUCAGAAAGCCACGGCUAACUACGUG
rnacentral:rRNA from 1 species